AUUGAACGCUGGCGGCAUGCUUUACACAUGCAAGUCGAACGGCAGCGCGGGCUUCGGCCUGGCGGCGAGUGGCGAACGGGUGAGUAAUGCAUCGGAACGUGCCCAGUAGUGGGGGAUAGCCCGGCGAAAGCCGGAUUAAUACCGCAUACGACCUGAGGGUGAAAGCGGGGGACCGAAAGGCCUCGCGCUAUUGGAGCGGCCGAUGUCGGAUUAGCUAGUUGGUGGGGUAAAGGCUUACCAAGGCGACGAUCCGUAGCUGGUCUGAUAGGACGACCAGCCACACUGGGACUGCGACACGGCCCCGACUCCUCCGGCAGGCACCAGAGGGGAAUUUUGGACAAUAGGGGCAACCCUGAUCCAGCCGUGCCGCGUGCGGGAAGAAGGCCUUCGGGUUGUAAACCGCUUUUGUUCGGGAAGAAAUCCUCUGGGCUAAUACCCCGGGGGGAUGACGGUACCGUAAGAAUAAGCACCGGCUAACUACGUG
rnacentral:rRNA from 1 species